UCUUCCCAUUAUCGAUCGCCAUAUCUAAUGCUCUGUUGGAGCAUUCCUGCCGCCGCCUCCUCCACUUGGGCUGGCCACUGCAUAACACAGGUUGAAAUUAUGGGGUUUUAAUUAGUAUCUGUCAGCCUUCCCCUUCCCUUCCAGUGAAUGAGUUGAGAAUUGAUUCGAUGAGUGAAGAAUGAAAUUUCAUUACCAAUUUGGCAAAAUUCAUUGAUCAAUUCCAUCUUAGCGUCCAAGGACAAACAAAAGUGCCCAACUUCUUCGUUAUUUCCUUGAAGCUGAUACUUGUUCAGGAGAGAACGAGGAAUAGUCUCUAUUAUUAGCAGUCUCUCCCUAGCAUCAGGCGAGAACGACAUGGCUUUGUAAUUUACUCCCUACUAUUCCAGAUUUUUCAGAUAGAAUUAGAGUAUAUAAAGAACAGGAGUCAAUUGGUUGAAGUUUGUUUAAACAUAUGCAAAUAAACAAACUUCCUAACCAAAAAAAUCACUGUGCCAGAACCUUAAUGUUCCUCGCUUCUAGCUUCAGUCUACAUGGAAGAGCUUGUCCUGCUGUAGGACACUCUUUCACCACUGGCAUCCUUGGGUGUCUUAAAGCCUUAUCAACUGCUGCUGUUUCUGGCGGUAAUCAGGGCAGAACUUCCAAUGAUGACUACUUUGCAACCAUUCAUCAUAUAUCUAACAUUGUACGGCGAGAUAUCUACAUGGAAAGAACGCUGAAUAAAAUGUGCAUUUCCAACAUUGUCAACUCAGAGCUGGUUUAUCGAGUGCUGCGCAGCUGCUGCCGCAGUGGUAUUGAGUCCUUCCGUUUCUUUAAUUGGGCAAGAACCCACCACCCAAACUAUGAUCCAACAACACUUGAGUUUGAAGAGCUUCUUAAGACCCUUGCUCGUACUAGUCACUGGGAGACCAUGUGGAAGGUAGCCCAUCAGAUGAAAGUGCAGAACCUCCAUAUUUCACCUUCUGUUGUUUCAUUCAUCAUUGAACACUAUGGUAAGCAUGGUCUUAUCAACCAAGCUGUUGAGCUCUUCAAUCGUCUUAAAAACUUCAACUGUCCACAAACAACAGAAAUAUACAACUCAUUGCUAUUUGCUCUUUGUGAGGUCAAGAAUUUCCAAGGGGCUUAUGCUUUGAUUCGAAGGAUGUUACGCAAAGGUGCUGUGCCUGACAAAAAGACUUAUGCAAUUCUUGUUAAUGGCUGGUGCUCAGCAGGAAAGAUGAGGGAGGCACAGGAAUUUUUGGAGGAAAUGAGUAGAAAGGGCUAUAAUCCUCCCGUGCGUGGUCGGGACCUUUUGAUAGAUGGAUUGUUGAAUGCUGGCUAUGUUGAAUCUGCAAAAGGAUUGGUUAGGAAGAUGACGAAGGAGGGUUUUGUUCCUGAUGUAGCCACAUUCAAUUCUCUAGCUGAAGCUAUAUGUAAAUCUGGAGAAAUUGACUUUUGCGUCGAUCUUUUUCGUGAUGUUUGUAGAUUAGGGCUUUGUCCUGAUGUGGAGACAUACAAGAUUAUGAUAACCUCAGCCUCGAAAGUAGGGAGGAUUGAUGACGCAUUUCAGUUUCUUCAUAGAUCUAUUGAGGAUGGGAUCCGUCCAUUUCCUAGCCUAUAUGCUCCUAUUCUGAAAGCUGUUUGUCGGAAAGGACUGUUUGAUGAUGCGUUGAGCUUUUUCAGUGACAUGAAGCUGAAAGGACAUCCACCAAAUCGACCAGUGUAUACUAUGUUAAUAAAGAUGUGUGCUCGUGGUGGCAGAUUUGUUGAGGCUGCCAAUUAUUUAGUAGAGAUGACAGAAUUAAAUUUGUUGCCCAUGUCACGAAACUUUGACAUGGUGUGCGAUGGACUGAAAAAUUGUGGGAAGCAUGAUUUGGCUAAAAGGAUGGAGCAGUUGGAAAUAUCUCUUCAGGGUGUUUGACUUCAUUCAGCAAGUUCUAUUAAGCUACAUGCAUAUGACUUGGAUUGAUACCCAAUCCAGGAAAGGAUAAUUGUUCAGAAAGGGGCUUGGUACAGUGUGCCUCUCUGAACUAAAUUUUGUACUUCUUAGAAGGUAGGCUGGUGCAAAAGAGGCAAAUGACAUCAUUAAUGCACGAGUCCAUCAGUAGGUGAACCCUAGUCUGAAUUUAAGCAUAGAGGCAAAUGACAUCAUUAAUGCACGAGUCCAUCAAUAGGUGAACGCUGUUCUGAAUUUAAGCAUAAAUGAAGCCCAUUGAAGAAUUUUCUACUGGAUUGGUAUGAUUUGUGAUUUUACUGGGGAAAAGCGGCUGCAAUGAUUCUGAGUGAAAUAUUGAUGGACGAGUAAAUGCAAAUAUGAGAGGCAAUAGAAAGCAACUCUUGGCUCACGAGAGCGCAAUGGAUUGUCACUGAUAUUUGCAGGAGUUUAUGCAGUAGAGCUGAUUACAUUAACUUGGAGCAGACUGGGGGUAAGAAUAUCAAAAGUGAUUUAAUUCUCUGGAAAAAGACUUUGGUGCAAGAACCUGGGUGGAUACCGGUGAUGCUUCACAACCUUGCGGAAUAGUAACACCAACAAAUGGGACAAUUGCUUGU